AUGAACGCUGGCGGCGUGCCUAAUACAUGCAAGUCGAGCGAACAGACGAGGAGCUUGCUCCUCUGACGUUAGCGGCGGACGGGUGAGUAACACGUGGAUAACCUACCUAUAAGACUGGGAUAACUUCGGGAAACCGGAGCUAAUACCGGAUAAUAUAUUGAACCGCAUGGUUCAAUGGUGAAAGACGGUUUUGCUGUCACUUAUAGAUGGAUCCGCGCCGCAUUAGCUAGUUGGUAAGGUAACGGCUUACCAAGGCGACGAUGCGUAGCCGACCUGAGAGGGUGAUCGGCCACACUGGAACUGAGACACGGUCCAGACUCCUACGGGAGGCAGCAGUAGGGAAUCUUCCGCAAUGGGCGAAAGCCUGACGGAGCAACGCCGCGUGAGUGAUGAAGGUCUUCGGAUCGUAAAACUCUGUUAUUAGGGAAGAACAAAUGUGUAAGUAACUAUGCACGUCUUGACGGUACCUAAUCAGAAAGCCACGGCUAACUACGUG
rnacentral:rRNA from 1 species